rnacentral:rRNA from 1 species
AGUGAACGCUGGCGGUAGGCCUAACACAUGCAAGUCGAACGGCAGCACAGUAAGAGCUUGCUCUUACGGGUGGCGAGUGGCGGACGGGUGAGGAAUACAUCGGAAUCUACUUUUUCGUGGGGGAUCACGUAGGGAAACUUACGCUAAUACCGCAUACGACCUACGGGUGAAAGCAGGGGAUCUUCGGACCUUGCGCGAUUGAAUGAGCCGAUGUCGGAUUAGCUAGUUGGCGGGGUAAAGGCCCACCAAGUCGACGAUCCGUAGCUGGUCUGAGAGGAUGAUCAGCCACACUGGAACUGAGACACGGUCCAGACUCCUACGGGAGGCAGCAGUGGGGAAUAUUGGACAAUGGGCGCAAGCCUGAUCCAGCCAUACCGCGUGGGUGAAGAAGGCCUUCGGGUUGUAAAGCCCUUUUGUUGGGAAAGAAAAGCAGCAGGUUAAUACCCCGCUGUUCUGACGGUACCCAAAGAAUAAGCACCGGCUAACUUCGUG